CAUUAGUUCGGAAAAAUCCGAUAAAAUUAAAAUGGUACAGAGAAGAUUGACCAUAAGAUGACCCAUGCACAAGGAUAACACAGAGAAAUGGUCCAAAUUAAA
rnacentral:snRNA from 1 species